GUGCUCACUUUGACAGCACAUAUACUAAAAUGGGAAUGAUAUAAAGAAGAUUAGCAUGACCCCUGAGGAAGGAUGAGACCAAAAUUUGCGAAGUGUUCCAUAUUGGG